rnacentral:tRNA from 1 species
GUGUCCCUGUAGCGCAGUGGAUAGCGCGUUGGACUUCUAAUCCAAAGGCCGUGGGUUCGAAUCCCACAGGAUAACG